CCCCGCUGCCCGCCCCGCUCCCCUUGUCCCGGGAGAGCUCCCGGCCGGGCCGUAACCGCGGAGCUCCCACCGCCCUUCCCCGGCCCCAGCAGCGCCCGCCGGGGCUGCGGCGGCGGCGGGAGCCGGCCUGGCUCGUGGUUUCCCCUGGUGCUGGGGAGUGGAGGCGAGUUGUGCUUCCUGCGGGGAGAGAGAAGGGCCUUGGGAAGCUGCUCCAUGAGCCACAGCUGUGCCGAGCCCGGGAGUCUGUCCAGCACCCUUUCUGCUGUUGGGAGAGCACGAGGUGGAUGGAGAGGAUCCCCAGGCAUCUGCAGGCAUAAGGGACUCGUACAACUGAAAUUUUCCUACAGCCCUUGUGGAAGGGACUUCCAGGAUACUCUUGGGAAUGUGCCAGCUCUCCUGCUGGAGCUUUUCUGUGGAAUAUUUGAACACAAAGGGUAAAACUAAAGUCAGGUCUGUUCUGGAGUAUGUAACACUUGUGCAAAACUCCUUUCUUCUGUUUAUUUUCUGUUCUGAAAAGCACACUCUGGGGUUCCUGGGCACUUCCUAUUGAGUGAUUCCAUGAAAAUAAUUUUGUACUGAAAGGGGAAAGGAGCUGUCUGUGGGAGGUCAGGUGUCCAUGAUAAAAGCUUUAUGUUUUUCAGUCAGAUAAGCCUUAAAAUAUCUCACAGUGUAUAGGAAUGCCUGGCUUCUAAAACUCACCAGCUGAAUCUUAGAGGCUUCUUUGAAGAGCUGAUUUCAGGCAGCAGAAUUGGCCCCCAGAAGGGACUCUGUGCCUGCUCUCCCGUGGCUCCAAGGGAUCUCUGGCCCUUCACGCCGGCACCGAGAUUUUCUCGGGAAGGGCCUCAGAUCCCCGGACCAGUCUGGGACACAGGCAAGAUCCCCCUGCCUUUAGAAAUGAGGCCUUCUUGUGGCUUCCUCCCCGUACCCGUUGGUGGGUUCCAAAGAAGGCCUCUGGAAAUGCCUUUUGGGCUGUCCAUUGAAGCCUUGGGACCAAAUUGGGCCCCCUGGAGGGACAGUGCUGUUGGUGCCCCCUGGGUUGGGGCACCCCGAGGACUCCAGCGCACACCGAAAGGAUUAUUCGGGGAGAUCCUCGGGGUGCCCGGCCCUGGGGAGCUCAAAGCAAGGUCCCUGCCAUGGAUUCAGGCGUUGCUGAGAGUAUCCCAGGGGUCCCUGUCCCUGCUAGAUGUGGAGCUCUCUAAUGGGCUGUAAUUGGGUGAUAAAAGUGGUGCUCCAAGUGCCAAAGAAGUGUGGGAUUGGGAUUAAGAAAUGAGCAGUGAGGGUCCAAUUGGCUGUUUUCUCUUGAAUGUAAUUCUAAGAGCUCCAGGAGUGCAAGGUGUGUGUUCCAGUCCCCAGCAUUUGGUUUGCACCUGUCCUGGUCAGACACAGGUCCAACUUGCUCAGUCCUUAACCCAAGAGAGGGAGAAUGAAGGACUGGCACUGUUCAGGUGAUUGGUGUGACAGGGGUCAAACUGGGAAAACACUGGGGAAUUCCUCAGUUUGUCUGUUUGCCAAACUCACCCAAACCUGUGCUAGGAAGAGAUGGACUGGAAAAGUUGAGGCAGAAAUGAAAUUGAAAACUGGGGCUAUUGACACUGUAAUUGCUGAAACUAAAUGUGUCCAAGCAGCAGCUCUUGUUGUGCAGGGAAUAAUUCCUGUCAGCAGCAAGGCCUCGACUGAAGUGGCAGCUGCAGUUGUUCCUGUUGUGUGGGCCAGUGGAAUUGCAGGAGAGUGGAAGAGGGCAGAACCUGUAGGUAUUACCCCUGAUGUGGGAUCUCUUCUGGUAAGGCCAAGCCAGUAUCCUUUAAAAUCAGAAUGCCAGACUGGAUUGGUUGCAGGAACAGCUGAAUUUGCUCCUCCUGGUUUGCUUGUAGAAGGUGAAUGCCAGAACCUGCCAAGAAACCAAUGGCCAAGGUGAUUGAUUAGUGCAGGACCUGAGAGAACCCCCUGAAAUGACAACCUGGAGUAGUUUCCAGAGAAAAUCUGGAAAGCGGGCAGGAAGAAGAGAAGCCCCGUGACUCCUCCCUGAGCCCCAGCCAGCCCAUGAACUGCCUUCCUGGGAAUGGUGGGAUGGGCUGGACUCUGGAUUGCUCCCUCUGGAUGUGUGUGGGAUGGAGCCUGGAAACUGCACAGAGCUGAGCCCAGGGAUUGAAAGGGACCAACCAAGGGAGGUGAAGAAAGAAGGAAGAAGGGAAGUGAGGCAGCAGCCAAGCAGCACCAAGUUGCUGUGUAAGCAGGUGAGUUGUGUUGAGGUUCCUCAGGCAGGCACUGAGGACUUUGAGGGCUCCAGACAGAGCAGACCUGGGAAGGCCCUUGGUGAAGCCCCGCAGAGACCUUCUAAGGGUAGGUGUGUAUGGUGAUAAGUGUUGGGAUUGUCCUGAAUGUGGAACAGGAAUGCAGGGAAGCAAAAUGAACCCUCCUGUAAUGCUGACCCCUCCCAUCAGCUGCAUUGGAGACACCUGUGUGCCCUUUGGGAUCUGAUUGCCAGGACCCCCGUGGGGCUGGGAUCAUGGCAGGGUGUUGUAAGCAAGGAAUGCCUGGCUUGGAAAACUCACCAGCUGAGUCUUAGAGGCUUCUUUGAAGAGCUGAUUUCAGGCAGGCAAAUUGGCCCCCUGGAGGGACUCUGUGCCUGCUCUCUCGUGGCUCCAAGGGAUCUCUGGCCCUUCACGCCGGCACCGAGAUUUUCUCGGGAAGGGCCUCAGAUCCCCGGACCAGUCUGGGACACAGGCAAGAUCCCCCUGCCUUUAGAAAUGAGGCCUUCUUGUGGCUUCCUCCCCGUACCCGUUGGUGGGUUCCAAAGAAGGCCUCUGGAAAUGCCUUUUGGGCUGUCCAUUGAAGCCUUGGGACCAAAUUGGGCCCCCUGGAGGGACAGUGCUGUUGGUGGCCCCCGGGUUGGGGCACCCCGAGGACUCCAGCGCGCACCGAAAGGAUUAUUCGGGGAGAUCCUCGGGGUGCCCGGCCCUGGGGAGCUCAAAGCAAGGUCCCUGCAAUGGAUUCAGGCAUUGCUGAGAGUAUCCCAGGGGUCCCUGUCCCUGCUAGAUGUGGAGCUCUCUAAUGGGCUGUAAUUGGGUGAUAAAAGUGGUGCUCCAAGUGCCAAAGAAGUGUGGGAUUGGGAUUAAGAAAUGAGCAGUGAGGGUCCAAUUGGCUGUUUUCUCUUGAAUGUAAUUCUAAGAGCUCCAGGAGUGCAAGGUGUGUGUUCCAGUCCCCAGCAUUUGGUUUGCACCUGUCCUGGUCAGACACAGGUCCAACUUGCUCAGUCCUUAACCCAAGAGAGGGAGAAUGAAGGACUGGCACUGUUCAGGUGAUUGGUGUGACAGGGGUUAAACUGGGAAAACAUUGGGUAGUUCUUGAGUUUGUCUGUUUGCCAAACUCACCCAAACCUGUGAUAGGAAGAGAUGGACUGGAGUCUCUGCUCCCCUGGGCAGUUGUUCUGCAUGACCUGGGAGCCUCUGGGAUUAGACUGGACUGUGCAGAGAGGGAGCAGUUUGUCCUGUGGAGCUGGGCUGGGUUUGUUCAGGAUGCCUUGGGAGGCAGGGCUGGAGAGGCUCCUCUGUUGGCUGUGGUGCUGGAAGGUUGUAGCAGGAGGGCUGGAGCCCUUUGACCUCCUGCUCCCCCUGUGAGCCCGGCCGGGCCCGUGCCCUUGGCAAUGGAGGGCCCCCCAUUGCUGAGCCAGCGGUUCCGGGGCCAGGAGGGAUGGGAUCAGGAUGCCGAGCUCCCCCCAGGGCCAGGGCUGCCAGCGUUCAACCAUGGAGAGAACUGAGAGCAGAGUGAGAUGGAGGCCAAGCUCCAGCACAGGGAUGGGUGAGGAAAGACCCUGGUCCUCAGGUGGAGCUUUGAAUUCCCUGGAAAAAUGGAUCCUGUCAGAUGGUUCAGGCCCUUGUGGGUGCUGGAGCCAGAGGCCUCUGUGAUUUAUGGUCACCCUGAAAGGUUGCAAGGACAGCAAGUUUUGACUGCAGGAUGAGGUGGCAAACAAAGUGAAGUGGUCCAGAGAAAAGCUGAGGCUAAAAUUGGUCCUGUGCCAGAGCAGCCUCGUGCAGUGCUUGUUGCUGUUCCUGAGUGUCCCAUUGCAGUGGAUAUUUCCAAGGGUGCCUUGUGCUGGGGAACACUGGGGGCAGUUCCCUUUCCCUGGGCAGGGCAGGCAGGGCACGUUUCCCCCCUCGAGGGUGGCUCCACAGUCCCCCCCUGUGCCCUGGGAGCGUGGCAGAACACCUGGAGCCACUGUCCUUGUCAGAGAGGGCAAAGGGAUGGUUGGAUGGGUGAGGGAAUGGGUCAGGGAGUACAAACACCAUUAGAAUGAGUAGUGCAGCACAUGGAAAGGAAGGGGGGAGUUAAUCCAGACAAAAUCCAAGCACCUGCCCAACCUGUGAUAUUUUUAGGAACUCAGAGGUGCUGUGGUCCCUAGGAAGUAUUGCCCAGGACUAGGCAGGAGACUUCAGGCUUGGUCACCUCCAGGGGCAGGCAGUGGGGAGGCAGCUCUGCUGUUGAGGAUGGGGUUAUUUUCUCUGCUUUAUUUUGUCUCCAGAGAUAUUCUGCCCAUUAGUCCAAACUGCCUCCGUCUCCUAACUCUCUGAAGAGGUUUUCUGCUUUUUGUGGGAGGGUAAGGUUUGGAUUCUAACUAUAGAAGAGCCAACAAAAUAAAGGCUUCGUGGCAAACAAAUGGUGUCUCCCAAACUCUUUGUACUUCAAAUAGAUGCCUUUAUUCUUAUUUUUUUCUUAUUGGUAUUCUCAAGGUGUUUAAUACCCUGUCUACAGUUAUUUAUUUUGGCUUCUCUUUUUUAUUUGUUACAAAGUUGAUGUGACUGACUUCUUUUUGAAAUCCAGCAGUGCUCUCAAGGAUAUUUCCCCCCCACUCCUGGGCUUGUGCAGGGCUGUUGAGUCCGUGUGUGCCGCUGUCAGCUUUGCUUCUCUGUUUGCUUGGUUGGCUCCUGUUAGGAGAAGGUUUGUUUCCUCCACUGUAAUAAUUCAGGGAAAUCCUGAGGUAUGAUUUAAGAAAGAAAGUCAUGAACUGUUGCAACAAAUGUGAAUCUGAGAGUGCCUAAAAGCUGUUACUGAAUUCCAUUUCCAGGGACUGUCCUGGUGGGGAUAAUCCAGAAUUGCAGCUUUGAUGUUUAAAAAGGAGCCUGUGGUACUUCUUGUUUCCUGUGCUGGGCUUUCCUUGAACAGUGCCCAGGGAGGGGAGCAGCAACAGCUUCACUUGGAAGUGGACUCUGGUUUUUAAGCACAUCCUAAGCUCAGUGUGGUUUUGGUAUCACUCAGUACUUAUUUUAUUUGCCAUUUGUCUUAAAUUGUAUACACCUUUGAAGUGCCAGCUGUGUUUUGAAGACAUUCUUACAGUUGUUUCAAGUGAAAUUUGGAAUGUUACAAAUUUAGAAAGAGAUGAUUUUCCUGUGAAUAAACUACUAAAACAAAGGGGGGAGUGAGGAAAGCCAAGUUCAGGAGAUAACCUUACAAACUGGUUUGGGAAGUUGUUUACCUAAAUAGCCCAAAUUGGUUUGAGCUGCAGCACAAACGGGGGGGAGAAGGAGAGGUUUUGUAUUUUGACAGUUCUUUCAGUUUUUUGCAGGGACUACUGCCAGGUUCUCUUUGAAGUCCAAACCCAUUAGCAUGGGGAAAUGUGUGUUUGGCUUUAGAAAUAGGAGUUUAUAUUUCCCUUUGAACUAGAGGAAUGUUUCUAUGUCUUUGAAUUUUAAAUUGCAUAUGAAGCAGAAAUAUGUUUGUGUUUUACAGGUGAUAUUUUCACGAAAAUAGAAAUGCAUCAUUGGAUCUUACUCCUCUGAGGGCAAACCACCAGCCUGAUCAUUUCUUAGUCCCUCAAACCCAGUGCCAUGAACUCCGAGGGGUCUUUGGGUGCAAAUGUGUGGAGUGGUGGUGGCCCCCGUGAGAUGUGACCAGCUGGAAAUGUGUGUGUGUGUGUGUGCAGAGCUGGGCUGGAGCCCUUGGGAUUUGGCUCCCAGAUCCCCCCCAGCCUUCAGGAAAACCAGAGGACACCGAACCCUGAGUGAAGGGAGUCCCAUCUGCAGAAGGGUUUUUAGGUUGGGGAAAAGCUCUCCAGAACAAAGCCUGGGUUCAAAACACCUUCAGCACAAGUCAAGGAGCACAGACCCUGAAGUCAUCAAGUUAUGAAGUUUGGUUCAAACCAUUUGCUUCUCAGUCAGUUUUAAUGAAGUGUUAAAAGGAGAACUUAAAUAAGGUUAAUUUCUGAUAGAGAACAAUGGGAAGAAGUCAAGUGGUUUAAGUUCAUUAAACAUGUUUUAUAUCAGUCCAUGGUUAUUUAA